rnacentral:rRNA from 1 species
UGGGGAAUUUUGGACAAUGGGCGAAAGCCUGAUCCAGCAAUGCCGCGUGUGUGAAGAAGGCCUUCGGGUUGUAAAGCACUUUUGUCCGGAAAGAAAUCCUUGGCUCUAAUACAGUCGGGGGAUGACGGUACCGGAAGAAUAAGCACCGGCUAACUACGUGCCAGCAGCCGCGGUAAUACGUAGGGUGCAAGCGUUAAUCGGAAUUACUGGGCGUAAAGCGUGCGCAGGCGGUUUGCUAAGACCGAUGUGAAAUCCCCGGGCUCAACCUGGGAACUGCAUUGGUGACUGGCAGGCUAGAGUAUGGCAGAGGGGGGUAGAAUUCCACGUGUAGCAGUGAAAUGCGUAGAGAUGUGGAGGAAUACCGAUGGCGAAGGCAGCCCCCUGGGCCAAUACUGACGCUCAUGCACGAAAGCGUGGGGAGCAAAACAGGAUUAGAUACCCUGGUAGUCCACGCCCUAAACGAUGUCAACUAGUUGUUGGGGAUUCAUUUCCUUAGUAACGUAGCUAACGCGUGAAGUUGACCGCCUGGGGAGUACGGACGCAAGAUUAAAACUCAAAUGAAUUGACGGGGUCAUAGCUGUUUCCU